rnacentral:rRNA from 1 species
GGAAUUAUUGGGCGUAAAGAGCUCGUAGGCGGUCUGUCGCGUCUGCUGUGAAAACCCGAGGCUCAACCUCGGGCCUGCAGUGGGUACGGGCAGACUAGAGUGCGGUAGGGGAGAAUGGAAUUCCUGGUGUAGCGGUGGAAUGCGCAGAUAUCAGGAGGAACACCGAUGGCGAAGGCAGUUCUCUGGGCCGUAACUGACGCUGAGGAGCGAAAGCGUGGGGAGCGAACAGGAUUAGAUACCCUGGUAGUCCACGCCGUAAACGUUGGGCGCUAGAUGUGGGGACCAUUCCACGGUUUCCGUGUCGCAGCUAACGCAUUAAGCGCCCCGCCUGGGGAGUACGGCCGCAAGGCUAAAACUCAAAGGAAUUGACGGGGGCCCGCACAAGCGGCGGAGCAUGCGGAUUAAUUCGAUGCAACGCGAAGAACCUUACCAAGGCUUGACAUACACGAGAACGGGCCAGAAAUGGUCAACUCUUUGGACACUCGUGAACAGGUGGUGCAUGGUUGUCGUCAGCUCGUGUCGUGAGAUGUUGGGUUAAGUCCCGCAACGAGCGCAACCCUCGUUCUAUGUUGCCAGCGCGUAAUGGCGGGAACUCAUAGGAGACUGCCGGGGUCAACUCGGAGGAAGGUGGGGAUGACGUCAAAUCAUCAUGCCCCUUAUGUCUUGGGCUUCACGCAUGCUACAAUGGCCGGUACAAAGGGCUGCAAUACCGUAAGGUGGAGCGAAUCCCAAAAAGCCGGUCUCAGUUCGGAUUGAGGUCUGCAAC